AACGAACGCUGGCGGCAGGCCUAACACAUGCAAGUCGAGCGAACCUUCGGGUUAGCGGCGGACGGGUUAGUAACGCGUGGGAACGUGCCCUUCUCUACGGAAUAGCCCAGGGAAACUUGGAGUAAUACCGUAUACGCCCUUUGGGGGAAAGAUUUAUCGGAGAAGGAUCGGCCCGCGUUGGAUUAGGUAGUUGGUGGGGUAAUGGCCUACCAAGCCGACGAUCCAUAGCUGGUUUGAGAGGAUGAUCAGCAACACUGGGACUGAGACACGGCCCAGACUCCUACGGGAGGCAGCAGUGGGGAAUCUUAGACAAUGGGGGAAACCCUGAUCUAGCCAUGCCGCGUGAGUGAUGAAGGCCUUAGGGUUGUAAAGCUCUUUCAGCUGGGAAGAUAAUGACGGUACCAGCAGAAGAAGCCCCGGCUAACUCCGUGCCAGCCGCCGCGGUAA
rnacentral:rRNA from 1 species